AUGAACGUUGCUUUGAUGCUGCGAUGGGUUUGGCGGAUCUUGUGCGGGGAGGGCGGACUUUGGCUCCAGCUCAUUCAUGCAAAAUACCUUAGGCAUGAGCCUCUUAUGGCAUGUUCUCGGAGGGGAGGAUCGAAGUUUUGGUGAGCCAUCCAGAAGAUCAAGGAGGAAAUCCGCUUAUGGAUUUCCUUCUGCAUAGCGAAUGGGGACGGGACCCAAUUCUGCAGAUCCCAGGUUGGGCCCCGAACCACUACGUCUGAGGUUCCCUAGUCUAUUUGCGACUGUGUGGAACCGUCAGCUCUUGUCUCCAAGAUGUUACACGAUGGGCAGUGGAACAUUCGGUUCCGCCGCACCUUUGGACAUGCUGAGAGUGAAGAUUGGUCUAGGUUGCAGGAGGCUCUUCCACAAACGCUUCCGGACCAUCCAGACACGUGUCAUGGAGGAUCACCCCGACGGCGGUGUUCUCGAUGA
rnacentral:rRNA from 1 species